rnacentral:rRNA from 1 species
CACGUAGGGGACGAGCGUUGUCCGGAUUCAUUGGGCGUAAAGCGCGCGUAGGCGGCCUGCUAAGUCGAACGUGAAAUCCCCGGGCUCAACCCGGGAACUGCGUCCGAUACUGGCAGGCUUGAAUCCGGGAGAGGGAUGUGGAAUUCCAGGUGUAGCGGUGAAAUGCGUAGAUAUCUGGAGGAACACCGGUGGCGAAGGCGGCAUCCUGGACCGGCAUUGACGCUGAGGCGCGAAAGCCAGGGGAGCAAACAGG